GACGAACGCUGGCGGCGUGCCUAAUACAUGCAAGUAGAACGCUGAAGGAGGAGCUUGCUUCUCUGGAUGAGUUGCGAACGGGUGAGUAACGCGUAGGUAACCUGCCUGGUAGCGGGGGAUAACUAUUGGAAACGAUAGCUAAUACCGCAUAAGAGUAGAUGUCGCAUGACAUUUGCUUAAAAGGUGCAAUUGCAUCACUACCAGAUGGACCUGCGUUGUAUUAGCUAGUUGGUGAGGUAACGGCUCACCAAGGCAACGAUACAUAGCCGACCUGAGAGGGGGGUCCGCCACACUGGGACUGGGCCAACGCCCAGGAUCCUACGGGAGGCAGCCGUAGGGAAUCUUCGGCAAUGGGCGGAAGUCUGACCGAGCAACGCCGCGUGAGUGGAGAAGGUUUUCGGGUCGUAAAGCUCUGUUGUAAGAGAAGAACGAGUGUGAGAGUGGAAAGUUCACGCUGUGACGGUAUCUUACCAGAAAGGGACGGCUAACUACGUG
rnacentral:rRNA from 1 species